GAUAAUCCCUUUGUACAUGGACCCUGUUUUACGUUUCUUGAUGAGAAAUGUGUUGAACCAAGCCUGAUGUAUUAUGCUGACCCAUCUAGAUGUGGUUCUAUGUUUUUAGACAUAGUGCAUACAGGUCAAGCUUGGUAAAUGAAAGAAAAGUUUGACGUAAAAGAGUUUUACAGAUUUCAGUUUUAUGUUUAGAGCAGCU
rnacentral:lncRNA from 1 species